rnacentral:rRNA from 1 species
GGAUUCCCCUAGUAACUGCGAGUGAAGCGGGAAAAGCUCAAAUUUAAAAUCUGGCGGUCUUUGGCCGUCCGAGUUGUAGUCUGGAGAAGUGCUUUCCGCGCUGGACCGUGUACAAGUCUCUUGGAACAGAGCGUCAUAGAGGGUGAGAAUCCCGUCUUUGACAUGGACUACCAGUGCUUUGUGAUGCGCUCUCAAAGAGUCGAGUUGUUUGGGAAUGCAGCUCAAAAUGGGUGGUGAAUUCCAUCUAAAGCUAAAUAUUGGCGAGAGACCGAUAGCGAACAAGUACCGUGAGGGAAAGAUGAAAAGCACUUUGGAAAGAGAGUUAAACAGUACGUGAAAUUGCUGAAAGGGAAACGCUUGAAGUCAGUCGCGUUGUCCGGAACUCAGCCUUGCUUCGGCUUGGUGCAUUUUCCGGGCGACGGGCCAGCAUCGAUUUUGACCGUCGGAAAAGGGCUGAGGGAAUGUGGCACCUUCGGGUGUGUUAUAGCCUUCAGUCGCAUACGGCGGUUGGGAUCGAGGAACGCACCACGCCUUAUGGCUGGGGUUCGCCCACAUUCGUGCUUAGGAUGCUGGCAUAAUGGCUUUAAACGACCCGUCUUGAAACACGGACCAAGGAGUCUAACAUGCCUGCGAGUGUUUGGGUGGAAAACCCGAGCGCGUAAUGAAAGUGAAAG